rnacentral:piRNA from 1 species
UGGAAGAUGAUAGGUAUUUUCCAGUGCAC